GAUGAAGAACGCAGCGAAACGCGAUAAGUAAUGUGAAUUGCAGAAUUCAGUGAAUCAUCGAAUCUUUGAACGCACCUUGCGCCUUUUGGUAUUCCGAAAGGCACACCUGUUUGAGCGUCAUGAAUACCUCAAUCUCCAUCUUUUCUUCGGAUUGAUGGGUGACUUGGAUGUUGAGCCCUGCUGGUAUGCUAUAUCAGCUGGCUUUAAACUUAUUAGCCGGCUCUGUACUGGAUCGGUUUGACUCGACGUGAUAAUAUUAUCGUUGAGGAUGCAUGUCUCAUGCAGCCGGAAAGUAUCAAAGCAGCUUCUAGCUUGCCUUUAGUGCACUUUUACAUUUUAGACCUCAGAUCAGGUGGGACUACCCGCUGAACUUAAGCAUAUCAAUAAGCGGAGGA
rnacentral:misc_RNA from 1 species